UGAGCAUAGGCACAGGACUUGCACAGAAACAGGUGGUAAAUCACCGCAUUAUUUCCUCAGGCCCAGGUAAUUAGCAGUGCUGCUGGUUUUGAAGCAGGAGGACUAGCAACACAGUUUUCCAGCUAGACUUCAUUUUUACAGAGGAAUAUGACAAAGGAAAAUGGAAACCACCAGUAACCAUUUAAAAAAUGAGCUAGUAAGGAAAUCCAUUAACUGCUCUUCUUAUCUCACUCCUUUGGAAUCAGAUAUGUCCCUGGGAAUUACUGUGCUGUGCAUAUAGCAGCGGUUCAAUCACAGGAACUACAAGACUGUAACAGAGGGAGAACAAAGACACAGUGAAGAAGUGACUAUUUCAUCCUCUAUUAACUGGAGAUCCCCUGUUGCUGGGUCUGAUGUCACUGCUGAUCCAGAGAUCAUUUCUGCCUGCAUAGAAUAACAAUGAAUGAGGUCUGAUAUUAAGGCCGUAGUCCUUCAGUUCUUAGGUGGCUUCUUUUGAUGGGUGGAAUAAAUGUUACCACAACUGCUACCAACCUUGGUGUGAAAAGCUCUACAGGUCAUGGAUUUUCAUUUGAUAAAUUUUCUGAGCUCUCAGUUGGGUUGAAAGCAUCUGGUACCAACCAGAGCCACCGGCCCACUCGUGCAGGGGCGGAGGUGCGAGGCUGGGGCUGCAGUGGCCCCUAGCGGAGGAGCCUUUGUCAUCGCGGAGCCUCUGCCGCAGCCGCCGGGGCUGCGCGCAGCUUCUGCGCAGGCACCUCCUGCCGAGUGGGAGGUAACCUCAGGCGGGGAGCACCUCAGCUUGCUAGGUUUUCAAUUUUCAUUGGCCAGCUUUCAAAUUUCCAUCUGAUUUUCAAGUGAUACUCAAUAACAAAAUUUCGGUAGAAGUCUCUGUUGGAAAGUCAGAGCAAUUUGUUCCAUAGUGUGACCUUGCACUUGUUUCCAUAUGCAUUGGCCUUCCUCAAAAAGUCUUAGCAGAUUUU